rnacentral:rRNA from 1 species
CGGGUGAGUAACACGUGGAUAACCUACCUAUAAGACUGGGAUAACUACGGUAAACCGGAGCUAAUACCGGAUAAUAUAUUGAACCGCAUGGUUCAAUAGUGAAAGACGGUUUUGCUGUCACUUAUAGAUGGAUCCGCGCCGCAUUAGCUAGUUUGUAAGGUAACGGCUUACCAAGGCAACGAUGCGUAGCCGACCUGAGAGGGUGAUCGGCCACACUGGAACUGAGACACGGUCCAG